rnacentral:rRNA from 1 species
UACGGAGGAUCCAAGCGUUAUCCGGAUUUAUUGGGUUUAAAGGGUGCGUAGGCGGCGUUGUAAGUCAGUGGUGAAAGUUUUUAGCUUAACUGGAAAAUUGCCAUUGAUACUGCAGUGCUUGAGUACAGAUGAGGUGGGCGGAAUGUGUCAUGUAGCGGUGAAAUGCAUAGAUAUGACACAGAACACCGAUUGCGAAGGCAGCUCACUAAACUGUAACUGACGCUGAGGCACGAAAGCGUGGGGAUCAAACAGG